rnacentral:rRNA from 1 species
ACGCACGCUGGCGGCGUGCUUCACACAUGCCAGUCGCACGCUGAAGACCUGGCUUUUGUUGGGUUGGAUGAGUGGCGAACGGGUGAGUAACACGUGAGUAACCUGCCCUCUUCUUUGGGAUAACGCCCGGAAACGGGUGCUAAUACUGGAUAUUCACUGGCCUUCGCAUGGGGGUUGGUGGAAAGGUUUGUUCUGGUGGGGGAUGGGCUCGCGGCCUAUCAGCUUGUUGGUGGGGUGAUGGCCUACCAAGGCUUUGACGGGUAGCCGGCCUGAGAGGGUGACCGGUCACAUUGGGACUGAGAUACGGCCCAGACUCCUACGGGAGGCAGCAGUGGGGAAUAUUGCACAAUGGGCGAAAGCCUGAUGCAGCGACGCCGCGUGAGGGAUGGAGGCCUUCGGGUUGUAAACCUCUUUCGCUCAUGGUCAAGCCGCAACUGUGGGUUGUGGUGAGGGUAGUGGGUAAAGAAGCGCCGGCUAACUACGUG